rnacentral:rRNA from 1 species
AUUGAACGCUGGCGGCAGGCCUAACACAUGCAAGUCGAGCGGGGUUUUCGGACCUAGCGGCGGACGGGUGAGUAAUGCGUAGGAAGCUACCCGAUAGAGGGGGAUACCAGUUGGAAACGACUGUUAAUACCGCAUAAUGUCUACGGACCAAAGUGUGGGACCUUCGGGCCACAUGCUAUCGGAUGCGCCUACGUGGGAUUAGCUAGUUGGUGGGGUAAUGGCUCACCAAGGCGACGAUCCCUAGCUGGUUUGAGAGGAUGAUCAGCCACACUGGAACUGGGCCACGGUCCAGACUCCUACGGGAGGCAGCAGUGGGGAAUAUUGGCCAAUGGGCGCAAGCCUGAUCCAGCCGUGCCGCGUGUGUGGAGAAGGCCUUCGGGUUGUAAAGCACUUUCAGUAGGGAGGAAGGGUGUUGUGUUAAUAGCACAGCAUUUUGACGUUACCUACAGAAGAAGCACCGGCUAACUCUGUGCCAGCCGCCGCCGUAAUAC